GACGAACGCUGGCGGCGUGCUUAACACAUGCAAGUCGAACGGAAAGGCCCUGCUUUUGUGGGGUGCUCGAGUGGCGAACGGGUGAGUAACACGUGAGUAACCUGCCCUUGACUUUGGGAUAACUUCAGGAAACUGGGGCUAAUACCGGAUAGGAGCUCCUGCUGCAUGGUGGGGGUUGGAACGUUUCGGCGGUUGGGGAUGGACUCGCGGCUUAUCAGCUUGUUGGUGGGGUAGUGGCUUACCAAGGCUUUGACGGGUAGCCGGCCUGGGAGGGUGACCGGCGACAUUGGGACUGAGGUACGGACCAGACUCCUACGGGAGGCAGCAGUGGGGAAUAUUGCACAAUGGGCGGAAGCCUGAUGCAGCAACGCCGCGGGCGGGAUGACGGCCUUCGGGUUGUGAACCGCUUUCGCCUGUGACGAAGCGUGAGUGACGGUAAUGGGUAAAGAAGCACCGGCUAACUACGUG
rnacentral:rRNA from 1 species